rnacentral:rRNA from 1 species
CAGCCGCCGCGGUAAUACAGAGGGUGCAAGCGUUAAUCGGAAUUACUGGGCGUAAAGCGUGCGCAAGCGGUGUUGUAAGACUGAUGUGAAAUCCCCGGGCUCAACCUGGGAACUGCAUUGGUGACUGCAACGCUGGAGUGCGGCAGAGGGGGAUGGAAUUCCGCGUGUAGCAGUGAAAUGCGUAGAUAUGCGGAGGAACACCGAUGGCGAAGGCAAUCCCCUGGGCCUGUACUGACGCUCAUGCACGAAAGCGUGGGGAGCAAACAGGAUUAGAUACCCGCGUAGUCCCUGUCUCUUAUAC